AUUGUUUUUGUACAAGUACAAAAUACGCAUAAUCACUUGCAUUGAAGCCAUAAACAUAUUUAACGAGAAAGUGAUCUCUGUAUUUAACAUCAAUGUGAAGUAUCGAUUGCUUGUUGAAUGUGUAUUUAGCAAAUUCCAGGGUAUAAAGAUCUCGGCUCGAUAUUGCUGGUACAUCAUGACGAUAUUCACCAUUGUUUGUGAAUGUUGUACCAACGUAGAGUACAUUAGAUCUACCCCAGGGAUUGUAACGCUCUGGUCCAAUAAAUGCAUAUGUCGAUGAGUAUUCGUCAUUAGCAGCAACACUGCACGGUAGAAAUUCCAAUUUUAUCGAUAUAUUUGACAUAUUGUACUUUUCACAAGCACCCUGAAGUAGUGAGCCACAUGCUAUUAGGGUACCCGAUUCAAGAUCCGGUAUUAGGAGUUUAUUCACGUUGUCCAUUAACGAAGUGGUCACCUCUUUGGACAUACAUCCGGUUGCGUGACACUGGGGAUUGUCCAGUCUGGGACCUUUUACAUCAUAAAUAAAUCAUUUGAUGAAACAUGAUGUUUUGAGUGGAGUAAAUUAUUUACAAUGGGAAGACGAUUAAUGGCACCAGCAUAUAAACGACCAGUUGCUGGAUCAAUCGUGAGAUGAUUGAAACGCAGUGGACCCUCGUGAGUAAAAUUUGGAUCUCGUCUACUCAACUCCAGGCGAUGAUGGAGAGAUGGAAAACGUGCAACAACAUGGGGAUUCUCAUCUUGGGGUAAUUGUUGUGGUGGUGGAAGAGAGGAUAAUGAUGAGGAUGAUGCUAGUGGUCCUGGUAAUGAUGGUACUGGUGAUGAGUAGGGAUACAAUGACGAUGAUGCUGGCUUUUUGACUGAAACAUUUGCAAUCGUGGCGGAGGUGGCACUGCCAGUAGUACGGGAAAGGGUCUCAGUCCAGAGUAUAUCAUCUCGUAUCAGUGAAUUGUGAUGAAACAUGCAGGGAAUAGAGAGGUAACUUUUUUUUUUUUCGUCUUUAUGUGCUGGUACGAUUGUUUGUUUGGCUCGUUAAAAGGGUGAAAAUGGAGUUAUAUUUUUGUUUUUGUUGUUUUGAGAAAAGAGGAUUUGGGAGGAGGGCUUUGUCCGAAUGACGCUAACAGCAAUGCGCCCAUUCGUACAACAACAUGAUGCCUCACUAUUUCCAGCCCCUGUAAAACAAGGUAUCAAUAAAACAUUGAGUGACUUGACGAUGGUAUGUAUUUUCAAUAUAAAUGUUUAGUUCAGGGGGGAAUUGACAAAGAUAUGGUGAUUCAUUGAUGUCACAAGCGAUUUGUACAUCACCUCUUAACAGGUGAAUUUUAUCCUAAUUGAUUGAAUUUUUAAUCCAGGGUGAAGCUCUUAAUUUGUCGUUGUAAUAGAUACCCAGUGGGUGAUUCAGUUGAUAAAUAUUUUGAUUUUUAAAACGUAAAUAUUUUCAAUUCAUUGGUAAGAAAUUCAGAAGCCAAAUGGUAAACCGAGACGUUUUUUUCACUAUUGUCGACAUUUCGGUAAAUAUCCAAGAAUCUAGAACAGAUAGAAAAUUUUUAACGAUCAUCUUUUUUGGGGGGAAAAUCAAGCACUUCAAAUAAACAAAUUACAAAAAUUUCACUGUUCCAACUAGAUUCGCUGAUAUUCCGCAAAAACUCGACUCAUAAAUAUCUCAUCUCGUUUAAUCACUUGGCCACUGAAAUAAAAAAUCUAAGAAUUAACUAAUCAUUUCUCCCCCUCAACCACCCUCACCACCUAUCUCCCAAGGCCAUUGAUUUCCAAAACGUAAAUAUUUAUUCUAAAAACUCCGAGAAAGCCGUCACUCAAUAAAUUCAAGCCUAUUAAACCCCCCCUCGGAAUCCGGUUUUUUUUCAUCAAAAGAAGCCAUUCGUCAAGGAUCAUAUACCCGGAUCAAAUUGUUUGAAAUUCUUUGACACAAAACCCAUGCUGAGUGUGCCCAACGACAAACACCAAAACCAUUUGAAAUUUAAAUUUAUCGGUCCUACCCAGCCCCCAUAACUCAUCCCCACAUAUUCAUAAAUAAGGAGUAAACAACAAUAUCCUUUCUACUUGUCUCGGCUGGUUGGUUAAAACGUGUCGGGGGGGGUGCCAAGAGGGGGAUGUAGGCGAGAGUUACUGAUACUUUAGUAGCUGGUGCACCGUAAAUUAAUAAUGACUAAUGAGAAACGGCGAUGAGAGGAGAGAAGUACCCAGUAGUGAAGAGAUUGUUUGGUGUAGUAGUAAAGUAAAUGACAAACGGGCCCAGAUGGCUCUAUUCCCCAUGAUUCUCUGUUAUAUCGGUACCCUCUCGUACACCAUACAACUGUACACGAGAGGGGUGAAGGAGGAGGAGAGGGCAGGCGAAGGAAAAAAAAAAUCGGGGGGGAUAGAGGAGACGAAAAAAAGAGGGGCAUAUAGAGGCACACUUGACAGCUAAGGCCAUACCACUGCGGUCUCCUUCGACACAAAGGCAUGGAACGGGGGGGCUCUAGUGGAUCCUUUAUGAGUAUACAUUUUUUUUUUCUCGAUGGAAAAUUUUCACGUUUUCAUGCGAUAUACAUCAAAGAAGAAAUCAAGAGAUGGCAAAUAAAAAUAUUUUUCUUUGAAUAUGCAAAUGAAUGAAAUGAAAAGAAAUAAAAAAAAAAACUACCCCGAGUGUUCAACGUCGGUUCCUUCCCUUUUUCCACUGGCUCUUUUUUUUUUAUUUCUCUCCAAUCCUCAACUCCAUCAAAGGAAUGUGCAUUUCCCUGUAUUACCUGCACGUUUUUAUGAUGAAAAAAAAAAUCAUCUUCGAUAUUAUGACACUCAUUCGCUAAUGUGGACAAAGAAAUGACGUCACAGAUGCAUGGGAAUAUAAAUAUACUG